GAAGUAAAAGUCGUAACAAGGUUUCCGUAGGUGAACCUGCGGAAGGAUCAUUAUUGAAAUAAAUCUGGUGAGUUGCUGCUGGUUCUUUAGGGAAUAUGUGCACACUUAUCAUCUUUAUAUCUCCACCUGUGCACCUUUUGUAGACCUGGAUCUCUCUCUGAAUGCUAGCCAUUCAGGAUUGAGGAUUGACUUUAUGUCUCUCCUUACAUUUUCAGGCCUAUGUUUCUUUAUAUACCCCAAUGUAUGUCAUAGAAUGUAAUCAACGGCCUUUGUGCCUAUAAACCUAUACAACUUUCAGCAACGGAUCUCUUGGCUCUCGCAUCGAUGAAGAACGCAGCGAAAUGCGAUAAGUAAUGUGAAUUGCAGAAUUCAGUGAAUCAUCGAAUCUUUGAACGCACCUUGCGCUCCUUGGUAUUCCGAGGAGCAUGCCUGUUUGAGUGUCAUUAAUAUAUCAACCUCUUCAGCUUUUGCUUGUUGAGUGUUGGAUGUGGGGGUCUUUUUUGCUGGUCUUCUCAGGUCAGCUCCCCUGAAAUGCAUUAGCGGAACAAUUUGUUGACCGUUCAUUGGUGUGAUAACUAUCUACGCUAUUGACGUGAAGCAGUUCAGCUUCUAACAGUCCAUUGAUUUGGACAAAUUUUCAUUAAUGUGACCUCAAAUCAGGUAGGACUACCCGCUGAACUUAAG
rnacentral:rRNA from 1 species